GACGAACGCUGGCGGCGUGCUUAACACAUGCAAGUCGAACGGAAAGGCCCUGCUUUUGUGGGGUGCUCGAGUGGCGAACGGGUGAGUAACACGUGAGUAACCUGCCCUUGACUUUGGGAUAACUUCAGGAAACUGGGGCUAAUACCGGAUAGGAGCUCCUGCUGCAUGGUGGGGGUUGGAAAGUUUCGGCGGUUGGGGAUGGACUGGCGGCUUAUCAGCUUGUUGGUGGGGUAGUGGCUUACCAAGGCUUUGACGGGUAGCCGGCCUGAGAGGGUGACCGGCCACAUUGGGACUGAGAUACGGCCCAGACUCCUACGGGAGGCAGAAGUGGGGAAUAUUGCACAAUGGGCGGAAGCCUGAUGCAGCAACGCCGCGUGCGGGAUGACGGCCUUCGGGUUGUAAACCGCUUUCGCCUGUGACGAAGCGUGAGUGACGGUAAUGGGUAAAGAAGCACCGGCUAACUACGUG
rnacentral:rRNA from 1 species